rnacentral:rRNA from 1 species
UACGUAGGGUGCGAGCGUUAAUCGGAAUUACUGGGCGUAAAGCGUGCGUAGGCGGUUCGCUGUGUCCGAUGUGAAAGCCCCGGGCUUAACCUGGGAAUGGCAUUGGAAACUGGCGGGCUUGAGUGCGGCAGAGGGGGGUGGAAUUCCGCGUGUAGCAGUGAAAUGCGCAGAUAUCAGGAGGAACACCGAUGGCGAAGGCAGGUCUCUGGGCCACUACUGACGCUGAGAAGCGAAAGCAUGGGGAGCGAACAGG